CAAGUACUCCCUCCGUCCGGAAUUACUUGUCAUCAAAAUGGAUGUGUCUAGAACUAAAAUACAUCUAGAUACAUCAAUUUCAAUGACAAGUAUUUUCGGAUAGAGGGAGUACAAG
rnacentral:pre_miRNA from 1 species